AUUUUCUAUGGAGGUAUAUUGCGACUGUUGCUUCCAAUAUUUCAUUACACACCAAAAAAAAUUAGCAGUCUAGUUUAUUCAUCAUCCACCACAGGUUUAAUUAAAAGACUAUUUGAUUAAAAUUCAAAGCAAAGAAUCAGGUUAAAAUGGAAGAGAAAACAACAAGAACCUAGAAAAUAGAAGAGACAAGAAAAUAGAUAUGCACAAACACUAUAAUGCAUGUCCAAGCAGCCCAACUAGUGCUCAAACUGCCCCUUGCAAAUUCACACGGUGGCAUCUGGACUGUCAUACUUCUUACCUCUCUUAGCAGCUUUGCUCUGGUUCUUCUACUAACGCAUUAAAUAGCAACUCAGGUCUUAUGCCUAUAACUAGAAAAGCUUUCCUGGUUGUUGUACUCCACUUCUCUUCUCAUCAUAGUGCAGAAUUCUUCAUAGUUGAUUUUCCCAUCAUUAUCUGUAUCCACCUCAGAAAUUAUUUCCUUAAUACUGGCCUCAUCUCCCAUACCAUACUCCAUCAUGGCAGACUCUAAUUCAUCUCUUGUUAUAUACCCACUGCUAUCCUUAUCAAAGUACUGAAAUGCUUUGUAUAGAUGCUCAUCUCUUUCCAGUCGAUAUCUAUGCAUUGUAGCAGAGAUAAACUCAAUGUAGUCGAUUGUUCCAUUUCCAUCCACAUCGGCAGCUUCCAUUAAUUGUUUAACUUCAGUUUCAGAGAGCCUUGACCCAAGUCGAGCUAAACCUGUCUUCAGCUCUUCAUAGGUGAUUGACUCUUGUCAGUGUCCAUGUUUGUGAACAUUGCUUUAAGACCUUUAAUUUCUUCUUCAGAGAGAUUUUCAGCAAUAACCUUUAAUGCUAGCUUCUUGAGCUUAUUCAUUGCCCUGAAUUGCUUCAUUCUAGAGAGAACUGCACUAUCUAUUGGCUUGUCUGAUGCUGCACCUCCAUCUUUAAUCCAUGGAUGGUCAAGAACUUGUGCUGAAGUAAUUCGCCUUUUUGGGUCCUGAGUCAGCAUUCUCCUGACCAGAUCUUUGGCACUGUCAGAUAUUGAUGGCCAUGGUGAACUUUCAAAAUCAAUGUAUCCUUCUAGAAUAGCAUCAAAUAUUCCUUUUUCAGUUUCAGCCCAAAAUGGAGGUACACCACUGAGUAGAAUAUACAAAAUAACUCCUGCACUCCAAAUAUCUAUUUCCUUUCCAUAACUACGCCUCAAUACUUCAGGAGCAACAUAAUAAGCACUACCAACUAUAUUACGGUAUGUUUUCCCUUCCUCAAUGAACACAGACAGUCCAAAAUCAGUGGUCUUCAACAUUGCUCCCUCAUCCUUGCUAGCCAGCAAGAAAUUCUCCGGCUUGAGAUCACGGUGCAUCACUCCCAUAAAAUGGCAAGCGUGCACCACAUUCACAAUAUCCUUGCAAAUCCUAGCGGCAUCUCUCUCCGAAUAAUGCCCUUUAGCAAUAAUACGAUCAAAAAGUUCCCCUCCAGCACAAAGCUCCAUCACAACAUGAACAGAUUGCCUAUCCUCAUAGGAACCCCUAAACUCUACAAUAUUUGGCUGCCCAGACAAGUGCUGCAUAAUCUGAACCUCUCUCUUGAUAUCUUCUCUGUCACCCUUAUUGGUUAGUUUUCUCUUCAGUAUGGAUUUGCAGGCAUAAAUGUGGCCAGUGGAAUUCUCUGUGCACAAAUAAGUAAUACCAAAUUGGCCUCUACCCAGUUCU
rnacentral:misc_RNA from 1 species